rnacentral:lncRNA from 1 species
GGCAACUUCAGCAAUUAUUUAUAUGUGACACUAAUGUUAUAGAAAAGCUAAAUGUGCUUCACUAUUUAUACAGUGCAAGUGAUAAUGAGGAGAAACCAUGUGCUGAUCCAGCUGUCCACACAUCAUUAAGGAGUCCUUUCUGGAUCACAGUUUCUUAUUUUGGAGAGGGUUCUUCCACAUCUUCCACUGUCCUUCUGCCUCAGAUGCUUGUCCAAAGGAAGAUUAAAGUUAUGUUUGAAUAUCAUGAGACACUGACUGAUUUUUCUAGCAGAAAAUCCACAUAUUAUUGAUUGUCCCAAUGCAAGAACAUACCUUUGUGAAGACAAUAAGUACGAUGAUGUGUGCCUUUCUGUAGUAAU